GCGAGCCUGAUGCAGCCAUGCCGCGUGAAUGAUGAAGGCCUUAGGGUUGUAAAAUUCUUUCGCCAGGGAUGAUAAUGACAGUACCUGGUAAAGAAGCCCCGGCUAACUUCGUGCCAGCAGCCGCGGUAAUACGAAGGGGGCUAGCGUUGUUCGGAAUUACUGGGCGUAAAGCGCACGUAGGCGGACUUUUAAGUCAGAUGUGAAAUCCCGGGGCUCAACCUCGGAACUGCAUUUGAAACUGGAAGUCUAGAGACCAGGAGAGGUUAGCGGAAUACCGAGUGUAGAGGUGAAAUUCGUAGAUAUUCGGUGGAACACCAGUGGCGAAGGCGGCUAACUGGACUGGUACUGACGCUGAGGUGCGAAAGUGUGGGGAGCAAACAGGAUUAGAUACCCUGGUAGUCCACACCGUAAACGAUGAGAGCUAGUUGUUGGCAGGCAUGCCUGUCGGUGACGCAGCUAACGCAUUAAGCUCUCCGCCUGGGGAGUACGGCCGCAAGGUUAAAACUCAAAUG
rnacentral:rRNA from 1 species